UUUCCGUAGGUGAACCUGCGGGAGGAUCAUUAUUGGAUUUUGAAACUUCAGGCUGCUGCUGGCUCUCCUCGGAGGGCAUGUGCACGCUUGUUGUCCAUUAUUUCUCCCACUGUGCACAAAUUGUAGACCUUUCAGUAGGCCUAUGUUGUUUUCCACAAUCUCUGAAUGUAAUAGAAUGGUUUUGAAUCUUGGGAAAUACAAUACAACUUUCAGCAACGGAUCUCUUGGCUCUC
rnacentral:misc_RNA from 1 species